CUACGUGCCAGCAGCCGCGGUAAUACGGAAGGUUCGGGCGUUAUCCGGAUUUAUUGGGUUUAAAGGGAGCGUAGGCCGUGGAUUAAGCGUGUUGUGAAAUGUAGAUGCUCAACAUCUGACUUGCAGCGCGAACUGGUUUACUAGAGUGUGCACAACGUAGGCGGAAUUCGUCGUGUAGCGGUGAAAUGCUUAGAUAUGACGAAGAACUCCGAUUGCGAAGGCAGCUUACGGGAGCACAACUGACGCUGAAGCUCGAAGGUGCGGGUAUCGAACAGGAUUAGAUACCCUGGUAGUCCGCACAGUAAACGAUGGAUGCCCGCUGUUGGUACCUGGUAUCAGCGGCUAAGCGAAAGCAUUAAGCAUCCCACCUGGGGAGUACGCCGGCAACGGUGAAACUCAAAGGAAUUGACGGGGGCCCGCACAAGCGGAGGAACAUGUGGUUUAAUUCGAUGAUACGCGAGGAACCUUACCCGGGCUUGAAUUGCAGAGGAAGGAUUUAGAGAUA
rnacentral:rRNA from 1 species